UCUGAUGCUGUGUGAUGAGAGAAACUGCAUGUAUGCUGAGAGAGAAACUGUCACUAAAUAAACUGCUGCUACUGAGCUGCGAUGCAAAAAGAACAUUACUGGUGUCCAGUCUGCCUCUCUCCUUUAAAACAAAAAAUACACAACGCAGAGGAAAAACUACCAUCAGAGGUGGACUAAGUGUGCAGGUGGUGCCAAGCACGCGACACCCCGGGUUACAUUAACAUUUCCAAAUAACUGUUCUCUAGUCUCUAAAGCUUCUGUUACUCUUGCUUUGUCGGUGAAGACCAGUUGCCCAGUUGACCACAUGGCUCUUUCUCAGCAACACAGUUCAGGCCCAGCACAAAAGACAAAGAUCAGAGACACACAGCAGUGGUGCACAGCCUCGUCCUACACAGGCUGGAAAUGGAUGCUUCGCCAUAAGCGUCGACAAUUUCUCUCGCUCUCUCUCCGUCUCGCUGCGUAGCGGCUGGCUGGCUGGCUGCAGUCUGCUGGAGAGAGAAAGGAGAGCGGCUGCAGCUCGCCCCACUCCCUCACCCUCUCCAUCUCUCCAAGUGCUGGCGGAUAAUAAUACAGACAGGGAGCUCAAACAAAGAAAGAUUGAUAGAACGAGGGAAGAGAGGAGCAAAGGAGUGAAGAGUACUGGAAGAGAAGGAAGGAGAGAAAAGAAAGAGGAAAGAGGAGACACGGUGCCAGGAUUCCAUUUGACUGAAAAGAGGAAAAGAGAAAGAGAGAGAGAGAGAGAAAGACAGAGUGUCGCCAUUUCAGUAGGUUUAACUUUGUUUACUUCUUGUUUUGCAGUGCUGGCAUUUUGUACUCUCAUGAUCUGACUGAAAUUAUUGGCAGGGCGUGUGUUUGUGUGUAUGUAUUUUUAACAUAUGUGUGUGUAUAUGUGUGUAAAUGUGUGUUAUAUCUGUGUGAGACAGAAACGUUAAACGUUAAACUGCCAUACAUUCAUAAACAAUGUAUGACUUUUGCAUUCCUGCACACUAGACCUCUAACUAAUCGUCUAACAAAGUGAUCAGAGCUGAUUCUGAGCUAAUUAUUUGGGUUUGUAAGAGCAGAUUUGUGGGAGCGGGUUUAGGUGAGAGUGCCGUUGUUUAGUAACUUGACUUUUUGUCUUUGUCAGCAUCUACCGAGUCUGGUUAAAACUGAGAACAGGAAUUUUAUGCAGAUCUUGAUCACUUGAUCAUUCAUCUGAGAGCUUGUAACAACAUUAUAAAACAGGACUAAGGUAACUUUAAAUCCUGAAGGGAAAAAGGAAGAAGAACAAGCAGCUGUGAAAGUUCUGCAGUUUGAACUCGAGUGUAAGUUGCACUUACGCAUUGCUGAGCAAACUCGUCUCACAUUUGAAACAAAGGGAGAACUCCACAGAUGCACAAGUGGCUAAAAGAAAGGUAAGCAAGCAGCUUGUGAGAUAAAAAUAUGCACAUACUUGAUUUUUCAUUUAUAUUUACGGAAGGAGUCC
rnacentral:lncRNA from 1 species